CUAGUUUUGGCCAGAAAUCAUUUUGUUUCUCAGGUUUCCUUUGCUUUACUUUACCGACUCGGACUUGGCGAACUUAUUAUGUCUGUGGACACCACAGAAACACUGAAGAGAAGAAUAUGCGGUCAGCUCCCUGCAGAAGUUAAAUGUGAAAAGAGCUAAAGAGGCGUGCCUGGCAAGGACAAGCAGGAGAGGACAGACGCAGAUACUGCCGGCAAAAAUCUUUCUAAGCUUCCUGGGAUCGUUGCUUCACUCAGAUGGCUUAGUGGCCACAAAAACCUUAAAGGACCAGCUGGAGCCUCACAAGCUCAAUGUGCUCAUAGAUGCUGUGUGAUAAAGCAGUUUCCAAAUCCCAUAGUGUCAAUGCAACGAGUCCUACUCAAAGAUAAGCGACCCUCCACUCCAAGAAUAAGGAUUGUGACCUGUUUCAGUUUCAGUUUGGUUCCACCAUUUGUACUGCAUGCUUGUGACGGAGUACCUUCACUACAGCUGAGUAAGCGCUUGGACUGCCAUACCAACAAGCCUGGCUCUUUGGCCUUGCUAUCAAAGUUGCAUGUUUGGUACCCUGUAGACCUGGGUUUGAAUCUGGGCAGGGUGACUGCUCUCGCCUUUGGCCGUAUAUGGUGUCAGAAGUGGGACGGCUUGCCGUGAGGUCAUCUGAGCCGUGCCCAGUGUCUGAACUGUAUGAGGGACCCCCAUGGGUAACAUUAACGAUGGGAUGUGUAUAGUGUACUUUUCAUUUUACUGAUUUUAUUUUAUUUAAAGGUGUUUUGGUCAUAAGGUUACAGGUUUAUUGUUGAUCAACGUUACAGUUUAAUCUAGUUAUAACGUCACACUGGGUUUGAGAGUCUGCGGAUUGUGUUGACUUACAGUAGUUAAUAAGCUGACAUUAAUUGCAUUGCACAUUACAUGGUUGUGCUCUGUAAGUAAAAAAAAAAAAACAGGUAACAGUUACAGAAUCGCUUAUAGCUAAGCAGCCUGUAUUGAACGCAGCAGGUGAUACAAUAUUCAUUAUAACUACGAGAGACUUGAGACUUGACUUAGACUCUUGCUCAAAGACUUGUAAGCUACUAUCAACAAAAUUAUCCUGCUCUUUUAGCAAUAAAAUCUGAGGUGAAAUGCAUUUCAUUGAAGUGAACUGAAUAAACACAAAACUUGACAAGAGCAGAAGCUUUCCUUCCUAAUUCUGGGUUGCCAUCGCUUUUAUAUACUGUAGUCACAUGGCCAAUUAAAGAAUUUUAUCUGUCAUCAGUUCAUGCAGACAAUAUUUGUUCUGUCUAGUUCUGUUCUUACUACAAACACAAAGGAAAGCUCUAGUAAGACAUCAAACCCAACUUUUAUGGUUAAAGUUACUACUUUGUGUCGCUCAGACAAGGGGAAAAACCUGAAUUGGACAUAUUGUGAAUUUAUGUAGUUAUUAGAACUGAGGUUCAGGAACAAGACCACACCUCUCUCACUAAUCCAACCACAUCCGUGCUUCACUCAUUUCAUCCUCCUGUGCCUCUCCAAUCCAAUCACUAGCACAUACGUAUAUAAGCCGGUCUAACCCCUUCUUCUGCCGUUUCUCAGUUCUCACAUCCCUCCCCCCCAAACCCUCUUUCUCUCCUCUUUCAAUGGUGGCCCAGUGGACAGCACUGUGGCCUCACAGCAAGAAGGUCCUGGGUUCAGACCUCGGUCAGCCCAGGCCUUUCUGUGUGGAGUUUGCACAUUCUCCCUGUGUUUGUGUGGUGUUUCCUCCCACCAUCAAAGACAUACAUGCUAACCAAAGUAAUUGUUGUUUAAUUGGUUUUUUUUUCUACCACAGGAACUACAGGGGGAUCAUAAGCAAGACGCUUAUAGAGAUGUGUCCCCACCCUGAGUCUCGACCCCAAGGUUCCUAGCCGCUCCGGCUACACGACCCAGAUCAACCCAUUUCAUCACCACCUUCUUGACCCCUUGAUUCCUUUCCCUCCAUGCAUUCAUCCCCGAUCCUUCUCUCUAAUCAAAUAAACUACAUGUUAUACCUUUAUUGGCGUGGUCUUAGUUAGUGAACUGACAGCUCUUGGCCACCAUUGCUGACAGUUACACUGAAAUAAAAUCCAAUGCUAUCUGGCAUAGGCUGUUAGCUCAAAUAUCAGCAUCAGUCCUAACUGCAGUUUGUGUUCACUUCAUUUUGUUCUGCUUUUCAAGCACUGGGAACCACUAGCUGUUGGACAUCGUCAUCUUGCUGCUUUGCUAUAGAUUUCAACAAGAAUAUCAAUUGAGGUGAUGCUCUCGCACCAUGGGGAGCUGCUGUGACAUACAGAGGGAUGACCCGCUGGGUAUGUGUGUAGAUGUGUGUUCACCAGGGUUUGUGUGUGUCAACAAAACAAUGAAACCCGACACAUCAAUCCAAAUAUUGCCGGGAAAGCACUCUGACGCAACCCACAUGUCAAGCCAAUCACACUCAUGCAAAGGUGUUGUGUCUAGUCUUUGUGUGUAAUCCGGCUGAUGACAAAUAGUGGCACGAGAAGCCAGAAGAACAGUGCAAAACAAUCUGCAUGGCUUGUUGCCACCAGGGUUAAGUUUGAAAAUAUGUUCAUUGAUAAUGUUGCAGAACUGACUCUGUUCAAGUGAGAUUUUCCAGAUUUUAAUGCAUUUUUUUAUCCAAGCAAAUUCAGGUGCAACAUCAAGCAUGUUCUGAAUGUUCUCCCUGCUUCUAAGUGUGUGUUGUUUCACACAAGUAAACAACUAAGAAUGCAGCUUUUUUUUAAAUAACUUUUUUGCAGGUCACCCUAUUUCCACUGCUUUUUACCUGUAUGUAUUUUCUAUUCAAAACCCAAGUUGCCAAGAUUGAAUACUCUGCCAGAUAUUCCGAGUUUGAAAAGCUAUAAAGUGCACUUGUGCCUAUUCCAGAACUUUAUCACAAUGUGUUCUUUGACAAUCCCAUGCAGCUUAAUACAUUUUGUGGUUACAGAAAAUACAUAUAUUGGCCAAUGGGUUAUUUCUGACCCCUUAGCAAACCCUUACAACAACAGGGACACACACAUGGCAGUACAGUGUAAUAAGGGAUGGCCACUCACCAGUUCUUGGUUGGUAGAGUUGGAGUCGUCUCCAGGAAAGGGGAUGUAGAUGGCUAAGGCCACACAGUUGGCAAAAAUAGACAGCAGUAUAAAGAUAUCAAAUGGUCUGAAAGAGACAAAGACUGUUAAGGGAAAAACGCUAAUAGUAUCAGAGGUUUAGAAGUUAGAGAAUCCUUGGGAAUAGAAGUUUUGUAUAUAUUUAAACCUUCUAUGAAGGUAUCGUAUAUUAAAUUGAUAACAGGCGUGCUUAUUAACAUUAUGUGUAUUGUGUCAUUUUUGGUGAAUCAGAAUCAAACUCCAAUCAGAAACCCGCAACAGCCAAUGAGAGCGAGCUCUCCAGAAAGUGUCAUCAAUAAAUAUAAAAUGUAUUAUGUCUGAAGUCACUUUGAUCACGCAAGUUUCUGUGAGAUUCCAAGUCUCGGGAAUUGCUACUCUGAAAUUGUUUAGUAUAAACACCAAGUGUGUGGUCAUGCAUCUUAACUGAAUCCUGAAUUCCUGUAGUGUGCAACAGGCAUUAGCUUUCGAACAAAGCUACC